UACGUAGGGUGCGAGCGUUUAAUCGGAAUUACUGGGCGUAAAGUGUGCGCAGGUGGCCGCGCAUGUCGAGUGUGAAAUCCCCGGGCUUAACUUGGGAAUUGCGCUCGAAACUACGUGGCUCGAGUGUGGCAGAGGAAGGUGGAAUUCACGUGUAGCGGUCGAAAUGCGUUAGGAGAAUGUGGAGGAACACCAGAUGGCGA
rnacentral:rRNA from 1 species